rnacentral:piRNA from 1 species
CUGGGGUUUUACACUGUUACCUGU